rnacentral:rRNA from 1 species
UGGGGAAUUUUGGACAAUGGGCGAAAGCCUGAUCCAGCAAUGCCGCGUGUGUGAAGAAGGCCUUCGGGUUGUAAAGCACUUUUGUCCGGAAAGAAAUCCUUGGCUCUAAUACAGUCGGGGGAUGACGGUACCGGAAGAAUAAGCACCGGCUAACUACGUGCCAGCAGCCGCGGUAAUACGUAGGGUGCAAGCGUUAAUCGGAAUUACUGGGCGUAAAGCGUGCGCAGGCGGUUUGCUAAGACCGAUGUGAAAUCCCCGGGCUCAACCUGGGAACUGCAUUGGUGACUGGCAGGCUAGAGUAUGGCAGAGGGGGGUAGAAUUCCACGUGUAGCAGUGAAAUGCGUAGAGAUGUGGAGGAAUACCGAUGGCGAAGGCAGCCCCCUGGGGCCAAUACUGACGCUCAUGCACGAAAGCGUGGGGAGCAAACAGGAUUAGAUACCCUGGUAGUCCACGCCCUAAAACGAUGUCAACUAGUUGUUGGGGAUUCAUUUCCUUAGUAACGUAGCUAACGCGUGAAGUUGACCGCCUGGGGAGUACGGUCGCAAGAUUAAAACUCAAAUGAAUUGACGGGGUCAUAGCUGUUUCCU